ACCUAUAAUGCUCUCCCCUCUCCGCAUUUUUCUCCCUUUAUCCAUGAACAUGUGAGGGCUUACAUUGAGGAAUAGGAGUGUGUCUGUUGGCAAUUAAUAAGGAACUUUUUUCAAUUGAAAAGCUCAAUCAUUAGAACAGAUAUUAUUGGAAUUGAACAUAUUUAUUUGUUAAUAUCGGUGCUAAAACCGACUUUAAAAGAAGGUUAAAACGUUAGUAUCGACGGCAUUGAAAUUUUAAA